AACUGAGGAUUGCAUUCACCAACAUUAUAAAUUUUCACUGGGAGUCUACAGAGUACUCAAAGAAAUGGAAAAGCAAAUCAUCUGGUAAUACUUUGUUGGUAACCAUCUGACAAGCUCAGUACACAGAGAAGAUGGCUGGGAAGGCAUAAGAGGUCACUGGGAUUCACCUCUACCUAGUCAUCCUAUGAUGAGCCAUAUAGAACUAUCAUGAAAAUAAACCCAUCCUCCAGAAUUUACCAUUCAAUAACUUUAUGCAAUGGAAAUUUUCAAGGCAGAUCUUCAUUGGAUUAAUGAAGAGGACCUCUGUGUGCCUCAAGAAAUGGAGAAUGGGUUGCAAAGUGCUUCCCACAGCACUGCCCUGGAGCAGAGAGGGUACAGAUUACAGGGAGACAAGAUAGCGAGCAGCGAACACUGCACAGGUAUAAAAACCCCACUCCUAGGAAAACAAGCAGCUACAGCAGGCAUUUUGCUGAACAUGUUGUCGGGGAGAAAUACAGCUGAUAAAGAAGCAGAUGCUGAUGGAAAGGCUGCCCAUGCUCGGGAACUGACAAUAACAGCUCUGGUAUGAAGAGGUGAUCUGUAACACACAGACUAUAGAGAACGUGAACAGAAAAAAAAUCAAUAAGCCAGUUCAAUACAAGAAGAGAAGUCAACCAGAACAGGACAGAAACCAUUACCUUAGCCACACCUGGAACCACACUGGGUAUGCCCUGGAGUUUUGAAUAUUUAUUGAUAGUUAAGUUCAUUGUACAACCUGUAGGGUAAGGAAGGAGCAGUGUGCUUGUCAUGUUACAAAAGUCCAUGAAGACCUAAGGGCCUGCAGGACAUUCAGCCACUUUUUACGGAGAGUCUACUAAAUUGUGUUUUAUCCCCCCUCAAAAGCUGGCAUGAGAUAUGCCUCCAGCUUCAAGCAAAACAACUCUGCCACUUUAGCAACUGCAGAUUCGAAAGAGCUUGAUAUAGGAACCAAAGGCAACCUAAUGGUGGAUCCAACACCUGUUUAAAUGGAGCAUUCCUUCUUGACUGGUGGCAAAUCCACACAAUCAUUUCUUAUGAGAACAAAGAUGUCCUGAGCAAGGGUGAGCUGCAGUUCUGCUUAUUGACAGAGCAAGCCCAGAUUUGAAAUAUAAGGAUAGGCUUUUCGGUAUAAAUUACUGUACACCUCCAUAGGUGUAUGCUUUCCCUCACACUGCCCUUCUAGCAUCUCCUGGUAUUUUCUGUACCCAUCCUUGCUCUUAGAGGAAAACAGGCACAACAUCUACAUGGAUUAUCUUUAAAAAAUAAAAAAGUCAAAGCAGAAGAAAGAACAAUAAUCCAUAGAUAGUUGUGAGUGGCAUGAGAAUGUGUCACGUAAAGGUAGCAUGGAAUAAACAGAUAAGUGGGAGAGUAGGAUAAUGGAUGGUGAAUGUUCAGGAUCAGAGAGAGAAAGAACGAGAGAGAGAGACAGAGAGAUAGAUCUUGAAUAAAAGACUGAGAAGCUCCUAGGAAUUUCAGGCUAAACAGUAGAAUAGGAGGAGGAUGAUUUAAGAUGAGUUCCUGUGUACUAAGUAUCUCAUCCUUCAAAUUUUGAGACAGACUCAAAUAAAGACCAGAAGUCUUGACUGGGCCACAUAUAUCCAAAUGCAACAUGUAUUUAAAUGUUUAUGGAUGUUUCCAUUAGGGUCUGAGAGCAUUGAGCAUUGGGAUAUAAUAACAAAAGCACAAUUCUAGUCCCAGUCUUCCUGCUCUAGACCUGGCUCUGACAUCGACAUAUCUUGGGCAAGUUACUCAGUUCUCUGGCCUUCAGUUUAUUCAUUUGUAAAAUGACCAGUCUCGCUGGAUGAUCAGUGCAGAAUUGUAGUCCCUUACUACUCUAAAAUCCAUAUUACAUUCAUAGUAGAAUACCUUUGUAAUGCUGAUAUGAGGAAAUGGAUUUACUAAUAGGAAGUGCUCUGGCCAGAUUUUAUUAUUUGAAGUAAUGCAUCAUGGAUAUAGCCAGAUAUGGGCGAUAAUAAGAUAGAUACAAAUAUGGUUUUGUUGUACCCUCUUCUAACCAGUA